rnacentral:rRNA from 1 species
UGCGUAGGCGGCUGAUUAAGUCGGAUGUGAAAUCCCUGAGCUUAACUUAGGAAUUGCAUUCGAUACUGGUCAGCUAGAGUAUGGGAGAGGAUGGUAGAAUUCCAGGUGUAGCGGUGAAACGCGUAGAGAUCUGGAGGAAUACCGAUGGCGAAGGCAGCCAUCUGGCCUAAUACUGACGCUGAGGUACGAAAGCAUGGGAGCAAACA